UCGUGCUAGACGGGGAGGUAGCGGUGCCCUGUACCCGCAAACCGCUAUAGCGGGGUCGAAUUCCUAUCUGAGGAUUGGUCUUGUAGGGUCUGGUCUAGUUAAGUGGUGUUGACGAUUGGGUCUUGCGCAAUAAGACUUUACGAACCCCGUCAGGUCCGGAAGGAAGCAGCGGUAAGUAAAUCCUCUUAUGUGCCGCAAGGCAGCCUGGUCCGAGCUAACUGACUGGGUGCCGCCUGGAAGAUCCUUUCGAGGAUAGGUGCACGA
rnacentral:SRP_RNA from 1 species